rnacentral:rRNA from 2 species
UCUGACGCCCAUAGCGCGCCGGCCCCACGCCUUCCCAUCCCGAACAGGACCGUGAAACGGCGCCGCGCCCAUGAUACUGGAGCUCCUGCCUCCGGGAAAGUCGGUCAGCGUCAGAC